GGAAUAUAGUUCAGUUGGCAGAGUUCUUGCCUCGAAUGUACAAGGCCCUGGAUUCAAUCCCCAGUACCA
rnacentral:tRNA from 1 species